rnacentral:lncRNA from 1 species
UCAUGGAAGCGGUCUCGCCCCUGCUGUUCUCGUGACAGUGAGUUAUCGCGAGAUCUGAUGGUUUCGUAAGUGUUCGGUAGUUCCUCCUGCGUUCAUUUUCCUUCCUCCCAUCUUGUGAAGAAGGUGCUUUGCUUUCUCCUCACCUUGUGUCGUGAUUGUAAGUUUCCUGAAGCCCUUCCUGCCAUGCUGAACUGAAGUAGAGUCUAUGACUCUUCCCCUUGAAUCUCCAUGGGACUUUAUUGCUUCAGAGACAAGGAAUGUCGCAAAAGUGAUGCUGCUUGACUUUUGAGAGUAGCCUAUAUGUAUCUCCAGAGGUGAGAUGUGUUUCUGGUGGGCGGCAUACAGUGAGGACCAUGGCUUCUGUGCUGAAGAAAGCAAACACCAGACGCAUCAGGCCAUGGAUACAGGUCUUUUAAGGAAGCAGUUUCUACUCUAUGCAUGAAACUUGUUUGGAUUGAAACCCAGUUUCAAAGCAUCCUCUGUGUAAACUGAUGAGCACAGGGUUUUGGCACUGUCUCCCUGUGUGCUUGAUAUCCAGAUUUACUGUCUGAUCUUGGAUAUAUUUCAAUGAAAUGAGACCUCUAAUAGUAGAGGAAUAGAUAUUUGUGAAACAGUAUGACAGUGAUAGCAAUUAUUAUAAAAACAAGAAGCACUGCAUAAAUGCCUUAUACAGUAAUAAUUGCGAGAUUUAAUUUGGAGUGGCUUUUCCUUAUUUGCCCAAUAAGUUCUAUUUAAUUAUUUGCUGUGGCAUUAAACUUCCAAGGGGAGCUAGGCAUGGUCUCCACCUGUUUUAAAUACUGUGUGUCUCAAUCACAAACUUAACCUUGUGAAACAUUAGAGUCUCAGUAUCCAUGUUAAAGCUAAUGUUUAACUGGAAAAUGCAUCAGUUAAAUUUAUCUUUUAGAUUUUAUGUAACAUGCUUGCAUGCUGGCACUUUGCAUACCAUUAACAGAAACUAGAAUCCUAUUCUUCUUUUGAAAGUUCAUUUUCUUUUUCAGUACCACGAAAUACCAAACUGAACUUGACUCCAAACAUGCGCUCAGUUUCAAACUGGAUAUGAAGACCAUUUAAGAAUCAUGUGUGAGUGAAUUUCAUUGAAAGAGAAGAAACAUUUAAAAACUUUUAAGUCCUUUCUGAAUUGCUUAUACAUAUAUUCAGCAAUUCAGUGAUGCAGCCUGGAUGUGCACAGACUUGGGUAAUUGGUAUAGCUUCAAGUGGACAUUAUUCUUCUUAUAACAAUACUGCAUUUUCCUCCCUCAAACACUAACCUGCUAUAUUUACAAUUACAUUUGUUGCCAAAUAUAUUAAGUGGACAAAUGGGUCACUGUCUGCCUGCAUUUUUCUGACCCAGUCACAAUUCAUCAAGAAAAACAAAGUUUGGCUGGGAUUCUGAAACAAGCACACUAAGCUGUAAAUGUAUACUUAUGUUUGCAUGUUAGAAUACAUCUUAGUUACACGAUAAAAAGGAGCAGGGGAGAGGUGGGUGCUUGGAAGUAAAAAUGUGACCACAAUGAAAUUUUGACUGCAGCAUUUGAGGAAUGGUGGCAGAGCAGUUGGCAUCAGCUCUUGUCUGCAGCAGUAAUCAGGGCAAAGAAGCAAUCUUCUGUGACCCCAAACUAAGAAUGGAGUCUUGCUUUGAGAAACUCAUGCUUACCAGUUCAGAAGUAACAUGCUAUAGAGAUUUUCAGAAUACUAAUCUAUCUCAGAUUAGUGUAUUAUAAAAUAAAAGUGGACAAAUAUAAAUAAAUAAUUUUUUCAAGUCUUUAUAAAAAUAGUAGGCUAUUGCCUCAUUUUAGGGACAUAAUUUUUAAUGCCAAGUGAAAACUAUGUAGAAAUUCUAAUUACAAAUUUGUGUACAGCUUUACAAUUAUUGUAUGUGUUAGAUGUGCAUGUGUUGAACGUUACUAUAUAUCAUGCUUUGUGCUGCUCAUCGAACAUAUGAAGUUGCAUAAAACAGUCUUUGCUUUUGGGAGACUAAGUUCAGUGUGAGGGGCAGACACUAAAAGUAAAUACUCCGAUAACUGACGAGAGGGUGAAUACCAUAAUAAAGAUGCUGUUUUUCUCUCUCCUCUCUCGAGCUUCCUGUCUUUCUCUCUCUCUCCUCUCUCUCCCGUUCAGGAUUUUUAGUUACAGAAAGGAGGUCAUGGAAAGAUCAACAUUUUAGCCCAUUGUAGCUGCUGUAACAGAGUAUCAUAGACUGAGUGGCUUAUAAACAACAGAAAGCUAUUUUUCAAAGUUCUGGAAGCCUGAAGUCCAAGUAAAGACACGAACAGAUUUGAUGUGUGGUAAGGGACUGCUUUCUCAUAGAUGGCUGGCUUCCUUUUGUAUCCUUACAUGAUGGAGGGGUGAGGGGGGUGUCUUUGGAAGUCUCUUUUAGAAAAGCACUAAUGUCAUUCAUAAAGACCCUGUCCUUAUGAUCUAGUCAUCUCCCAAAGGCCACACGUCCUAGUACCAUAUUAUCUUGAGAUUAGGAUUUUCACUUUUGAAUUUUGAGGGGACAUAAAUAUUCAGCCCUUAUCAUUCCACCUCUGAUCUUUUGAAAUUCAUGUCCCACUUGCAUGCCAAAUACCACCCCAAUAGCCCCCAAAGUCCUAACUUGUUCCAUGGACAACUUGAAAGUCUAAAGUCCAAAGUCUCAUCUAAAUGUCAUGUUAAUUGUAUAUGAGUGAGUCUCGAGGUAUCCUGAGGCAAAUUCCUCUCCAGCUGUGAACCUGUGAUCUCAGGCAUGUUACGUGCUUCCAAAACACAAUGGUGAAACAGGCACAGAAUGGGCAUUUCCAUUUCAAAAGAAACACAUAGGAAAGAAUGGAGUGACUGGUCCCAAGCGUGGCCAAAACCUUAAGGCUUAAGAAUAACCUCCUUUGGCUCAAUGCUCUGCCCUCCACUGGCACAGGGGUCCUGUCUACUGCAUACACUAAGGUGAAGGCUUCACCUUUGCAGCUUUGCUGUGCAGGAGUUGGGUCCCCAAGUAUCUGAGUGCCCCUCCUCUAAUGGCUUUGCUGGGAGCAGCCUGUGCUGCUGUUCUUACAAGUUGGAGGCUGUUCAUGGCAAUGUAGGAUUUUACUAGCAUGAACAUCAAAAUUCUUCGAGCCUCUACCCAUUACCCAGUUCCAAAGCUCUUCUGCAUUUUAAAGUAUAUGUGAAAACAGCAGCCUACUCCAGGUACCAAUUUUCUGCCUUAGUCUGUUCAGGCUGCUAUAACAAAAAACCGUAGACUGGGUGACUUGUAAACAAUAGAAAUUAUUUCUACCACUUCUGAAGGCUGAUGUAUUAGUCCAUUCUCAUGUCGCUAAUAAAUACCUACCUAAGACUGGGGAGUUUAUAAAGAAAAGAGGUUGAAUUGACUCACAGAUCAGCAUGGCUGGGAAGGCCUCAGGAAACUUACAAUCAUGGUGGAAGGGGAAGCAAACACAUCCCUCUACACAUGGUAGCAGCAAGGAGAAAUACUGAGCAAAGGGGGAAAAGCCCCUCAUAAAACCAAAAGAUCUUGUGAAAACUCCCUAUCACAAGAACAGCAUGAGGGUAACUGCCCCCCUGAUUCAAUUACCUCCCACUGGGUCCUUCCCACAACACAUGGAGAUUAUGAGAACUACAAUUCAAGAUGAUAUUUGGGUGGGGACACAGCCAAACCAUAUUACUUCACCCUGACCCCUCCCAAGUCUCAUGUCCUCACAUUUCAAAACACAAUCAUGCUCUUCUAACAGUCCUCCAAAGUCUUAACUCAUUCCAGCAUUAUCUCAAAAGUCCAAGUUCAAAGUCUCAUCUGAGACAAGGCAAGUCUCUCUGCCUAUGAGCCUGUAAAAUCAAAAGCAAGUUAGUUACUUCCUAGGUACAGUGUGGGUACAGGCAUUGGGUAAACACACCCAUUCCAAAUGGGAGAAAUUGGCCAAAAUAAAGGGGCUAUGGGCCCCAUGCCAGUCUGAAAUCCAGUGGGUUAGUCAAAUCUUAAAGCUCUGAAAUGAUCUCCUUUGACUCCCUGUCUCACAUCCAGGUCACACUGAUGCAAGGGGUGGAGUCCCACAGCCUUGGGCAGCUUUAAGCCCUGUGGCUAUUUAGGGUACCCCUCCCCCGAUCCCAGCUGCUUUCACAGGCUGGCGUUGACUGUGGCUUUUCCAGGCACAUGGUGCAAGGCAUAGGUGAAUCUACCAUUCUGGGGUCUAGAGGAGAGUGGCGCUCAUCUCACAGCUCCACUAGGCAGUACCCCAGUGGGGACUCUGUGGGGGUACCAACCCCACAAUUGCCUUCUGCACUGCCCUAGCAGAGGUUCUCCAUGAGGGCUCUACCCCUGCAGAAAACUUCUGCCUAGACAUCCAGGUAUUUCCGUACAUACUCUGAAAUCUAGGCAGAAGUUCCCAAACCCCAAUUCUUGACUUCUGUGCAUCCGUAGGCUCAGCAUCAUGUGGAAGCCACCAAAGCUUGGGGCUGGCACCAUCUAAAGCAACCACCUGAGCUCUAUGUUGGCCUCUUUUAGCCAUGGCUGGGACACAGGACCUCACGUCCUGAGGGUGCACAAAGCAGCAGGGCCUUGGGCCUGGCCCACAAAACCAUUUUUCCCUUCUCGGCCUCCAGGCCUGUGAUGGGAAGGGAUGCUGUGAAGUCUCUGACAUGCCCUGGAGACAUUUUCCAAAUUGUGUUGGUGAUUAACAUUUGGCUCCUUGUUACUUAUGCAAAUUUCUGCAGCCAUCUUGAAUUUCUCCUCCAAAAAUGGGUUUUUCUUUUUUAUUGCAUCAUUAGGCUGCAAAUUUUCCAAACCUUUAUGCUCUGCUUCUUUUUGAAUGCUUUGCUGCUUAGAAUAUUCUUCCACCAGAUACCCUAAAUCCUCUUUCUCAAGUUCAAAGCUCAUAUAGCAUAUUUGUUUUGAGUGUCUUACUACUUUAUUACCAAAUUUAAAUCAAAUAAGAUCUGUUUUAUACCAUUGUAUAUUCAGGCAGAAUUAAGAGAAUGCCAAUAUUGUUUAAUGAGUAUAGAGUUUUGAAUUUGCAAGAUGAAAAUAGUUCUGGGGACAUGGUCCAAAUAUCUAUAUGGAAAAUUCUUCACAAGUAUUUUUCCUUUUUGUCAAAUUAAGAAGGCUAAUAUAUAUGUUUGGACUAAAGCAUGCUGUGAGGCCUGCUGUAGUUUACUCUAUAAAGCAAAACCCAAGUUUGUGAUUCUAAGGGAAGAUUGAACCUCACAUGUACUUUAGCAUUAUAGGAAGUAACGCAAAGAAGAGGGUGACAGGGAAAGACAGACUGAAAAUCUGUGGGCCAUUGAUAUGAAAAAAGGGAUUCUUUGUCACGUUGCCUAGACCUCAAUCCUGCAAGCAAGGCCACAGACAGAGAGCAGGGAGGUUUGUUUUGCACUUCUACACUGCCAGCUUUAGCUACAGGCACACAUUUACUUCUCAACCCUCUCUCAUGAUGUAGAUUUCAUUAGUCGUAGUUGACAAUUAAGGAGAGUGAGAUUAAAAAUCUGCCCAAGGCCAUUCAGAUACAAAUUUGCAGAACAUUCAAAUCAUCAUAUAUUUUUAUUAUAAAAUUCAUAAUUUAACCCAUAUUUCUUUUUCUUUUUAGUAAGAAAGAACUUUAUUUUUUUGUUGGCUUGCUUUUUGUUGUUUAUGAAAUCAAGCAUUUUUUUUAUUUUUUAAAAUAUAUAUACAUUUUUAUUAUACUUUAAGUUCUAGGGUACAGGUACACAAUGUGUAGGUUUGUUACAUAUGUGUACACAUGCCAUGUUGGUGUGCUGCACCCAUUAACUCGUCAUUUACAUUAGGUAUAUCUCCUAAUGCUAUCCCUCCCACCUCCCCCUAUCCCACAACAGGCCCCGGUGUGUGAUGUUCCC